UCUCCACACUCCCAAAUGCUGCCUCCUUUAACCCGCUCAUGCAUGAAGAAGAUUCCAGAUUUGGCGUUGUCUCAAUUUUCUCUGUCUCCACACUCCCAAAUGCUGCCUCCUUUAACCCGUUCAUGCAUGAAGGAGGUUCCAGAUUUGGCGUUGUCUCAAUUUUCUCUGUCUCCACACUCCCAAAUGCUGCCUCCUUUAACCCGUUCAUGCAUGAAGAAGGUUCCAGAUUUGGCGUUGUCUCAAUUUUCUCUGUCUCCACACUCCCAAAUGCUGCCUCCUUUAACCCGUUCAUGCAUGAAGGAGGUUCCAGAUUUGGCGUUGUCUCAAUUUUCUCUGUCUCCACACUCCCAAAUGCUGCCUCCUUUAACCCGUUCAUGCAUGAAGGAGGUUCCAGAUUUGGCGUUGUCUCAAUUUUCUCUGUCUCCACACUCCCAAAUGCUGCCUCCUUUAACCCGUUCAUGCAUGAAGAAGGUUCCAGAUUUGGCGUUGUCUCAAUUUUCUCUGACUGAUCGUUUUGACAAUGAUCAGUAGGUUGAGGAGGGAUGAUAAUAUCUUCAGGAUUUUUAGCUACUGUGCGUUUUCCUUUCUGAGCUUUCUUCUUGAACUGAGC
rnacentral:lncRNA from 1 species